UACGUAGGUGGCAAGCGUUGUCCGGAUUUAUUGGGCGUAAAGCGCGCGCAGGCGGUCCUUUAAGUCUGAUGUGAAAGCCCACGGCUCAACCGUGGAGGGUCAUUGGAAACUGGGGGACUUGAGUGCAGAAGAGGAAAGUGGAAUUCCAAGUGUAGCGGUGAAAUGCGUAGAGAUUUGGAGGAACACCAGUGGCGAAGGCGACUUUCUGGUCUGUAACUGACGCUGAGGCGCGAAAGCGUGGGGAGCAAACAGG
rnacentral:rRNA from 1 species